AGAAGAGAGGAGGCGGCAGAGGGAGAGAAAUGGAUGGCGCGCGCCAGAGGGAGGAAGAGGGAAAUGGAGGGAGGCUACGCCAGGUCUAAUAGAUUCUCACGAAACGGGAACGUACGAAUCCGCGAUUCCGAAUCGUCGAUCGUCGUACGAGUGAAUGAAUAAUGUAUCGUGCCGGGACCACUCUCGGACCGUGUCCCCGUGUAUCUCCAGUAUCUCCAUAUCGGAGUGCGCGACGAAUUCCGAGCUUUAACGGAGGAAGGGAGGGGGGGCGGGGGAAAGAGAGCCGCGUAGGCCGUAGAGUAUAAUCCGCGCGAGACUAGCGAGAUUUGUAAACAAAGCGCCGCGCGAGGCGAUCGCAAUAACAAAUGCGUUCCGCGUACUUACGAGCGGCUCUCCUUUUUUUCUUUCUCUCUCUCUCUCUCUUUCGACGAUCGUCACGAUCACGUUGCGAAUCGUCGCGUUUCGCGACUCGCUCUCGAUCGGAACUCGCCACGACAGUAAGUUCCCGCCCCGAGGAGAGCGUCGUAAUUGGCGUGAAGCCGGAGCUCGAUGAGAGCGGAGGAGAGGUUCAACGGGGGUCGUUGUACCGCGGUUACGCGACCGACGGCCGUGUCUGCUGCUGCUGCUGCUGUUGGCCGUUCGAUCUGUCUCUCUCUUUCUCUCUCCUGCAUCUCUUCUCCGCGUAUGUGCGCGCGCGUGUGUAUGUGUGUAGUGCGACCGCGUGUGUUUAUGGGUACAUAUAGAUGCCUGCUAUCUUUCAUCUCUCUUUCUCUCGUCGCUCCCAUUUCUCUCUCUCUUUCUCUCUCUCCUCUUCUUCGACCGCUUCCGUCGGCCGUCGGACUGAUUAUUUUGGUGCAUCGCGCGCGUAUAUCGAGCGCGUCGCCCACUGUUUUCAGCCGCUGGCUGAUUAACGCGUUGCCAACUAUAAACAAUAGCGUGCCUUUGCAAUACCGAGAACACGAUCGAAUAACGCCGAGCGUACAUUCCUCCUUACAUUCGUUAUGAAAUAAUCGUGGGCCUACAUCUCGACUUGUGUCAUGAAUUUCUAUUAUCUGUCGUGCGAUUUCAACCCGGAGAAAAAUAGUCACCCCAUUUUUCGUUUUUGCAUAAACGGUCACCGAGAGUGAUUUUCACACCCCUGUUAAGAAUCAUUAACUAUAUAUUAUAUAUUAUUGAUUAUUCUAUAAUUUAUUAAUAUCAAAGAGCAUUAUGCGUGUGGAUUUAAUCGAUAUUUUCUAGAAAGAAGAAAUCAAGAAAAUAUUAAAAUAUUAAUAUUAAAAUAAAGCAUUAAAAUAUUAAAAUAUUAAAAAAUGGUUUUUCUAUUAUGUAAAAUUAUAUGAAGAAACAUUUAUAAACAUAAUAUAAACGUUGUGUACUGCAUAAACAGAUAUUAAUAGAUUGCAAUAUUUUUUAUUCAAACCUCUUUUAAAAAAUUAUAUUAUUUAUUUCGAAUUUGUAAUAUAAAACCUUACCAUAUUUGAUUCACUUUGAUAACACAAACGACCAGCUGGGGUGAUUUCUCCAGUUUUCAUUAGGAAGGUAAUGUAAAUAUGUGAGUCAUAAAACUUUCUGUUUCUAUUGUAUAGCACUGUUUCUAUUAUACAAAUUAGAUUUUGAAUCUUUGAAUAUAAAAAGUAGAUGUGAAUUUUGGGAAUAAAGUGCUGUUAUAUACGAGAAUUUCUUUUUUUUCAACGUUGAGGUGUGAAAAAAUUACAUCUCAUGUUAGACAUUUCCUUUCUCCAUUUCUAACAGUCGUGAAAUGUUCUAUGGUGUUUCUAGUCUCGACCCUAUAUAUUAAAUAAUGCUUUUUAAAGUUGCAUUUUUUAAUAAUCUUUAAAUGAGAAUCCUCUCUUUAUUAAAAACGGAGCGAUAUAACGUAAACGAGUACAUUUUUACUUUAAGUCGUCAAAUGUUUCAGUGCGAAUGUAACAUGUGAAUCUUCAAUACAACCUUUACAAUAUAAGAAAAAAUAAAAUAUCGAACGGAGACACGCUCAUCUUCCUGAAGUCGUAUUACUCCGGGAAGAGUUAACAUUUACGACGAACGCGCAUUUCCCGCUUCUUUCCGUGGAUCUCGUGUACUUCUGGUCGUGGAAGAAUCGCGACGCGAUUAAACGGCAGAGAGGAGCCCGCGUCUCUCGAGCUUCCGAUUAACGGCACGUCGUUGUUGGUCUCGCGGGUUAAGACGAUGCCGAUAUCCUGCCUGCGAGCGCGAGGGAAAACGGGUCGCAAUAAAAGUUUAGUGUCCUAACGGUGCUUCGCCGUGGUAUACUAAACUCUCGGCCGUCAUGUCUACGUAGAAAGUCCUGGACUGUCUCUCUCCUCGGGUAUAACCGCGUUAUUGUCCCUCGAUACGCUGUCGAUACGAAACGACGCGCAACGGUGGCAACGUGUCUUUCGGCGCGACGCGUCCGUCCAGCUCGCGCGUAUAGUAUUAUUUCUGUUUUCCGCAUGCUAAGUAUCACGAUUUCUGCUCGUUGACAACGCUCUUUUGCGAGGUUGACACAUUUUUCGCGACCUCUGUAACCCUAUGUGCGACGAUAGACUCUCCACAUAUGCGCGAAAUGCAAGAUACUGUGAAUCGGCACAGAAUACUCGAAGCUCACGAAUUUCUCUUUAUUCCUCCGCCUCCAUUCUUUAUCCGUCGUUGUCUAGCCGAUAAAAUGGCUCGGUGAUUCUUUAUUAUGAUUGACAUUUAUGCUCAGAUACAGCGAAGAAGUAAUCAUGUUAAAGAAUCAUCGAUCUGCUGAACGUAGACAUUUUCUCUCGCAUGUUUUUCUACGUUAGAUAUUAAAAUAAAAAAGACAUUCUCGAGUGAAGAGAAAGAGGCGCAGAAAAAUAUCAGUGAAUUAACGAAAACGUUGUUUGCGCUUUAUUAAUACACUGUCCAAAGUUUUUUAUUUUUAUUACGUUACUUGGUUGUUACUCGUUUCAGCUUAACAGUGUUUUUAGCUUAAAACGAUAGGCGUAUCACAAGAGAGAAGUCGCAUUAAGAUACAUUUUUCUCUUGUGAGAUAUCGUCGCACGUUUUCGUCUUACUUUACAUAUACAAGUUUGCGAGCUGAUAACCGGACUCAUUCAGAUAAAACAGUCGACAUAGUAUUUACAUUUAAAAUAACGGUUGAGUUAAGUGCCCAUGUUUUGCAUUCCUAAGGCGCGCAAUAAUGUUUACUCACAUCUUUUCCCUUACAAUAAACAGAUUUCUCUUUGGUUCCCUCCUUCUGUCUUUGUCCCUCUUGGACGUGCACUCUCCUCUUUCUAUUUCCAAUUUAACGCCAUAGAAUCCGAUCGUAUCUCUUCGCGUGAAACGACAUUUACAAGAAAUUUAUGUUUUCAGCUGUACUUUUACCGCGUCUCGCAACAUUUGUGCUUCCUCCUUUCCCAUUCAAAUCUUGAAUAUACAGAUCUGAUUUCGCAUGCGGCAAGCAAUAAAAUGCAGCCUUAAAAAAAGCAGGCUAUCGUGACACUCUGACCUCGAGGAAACCAAUUCGCAUAAUAAAUUCGUCUCUGAACUCUAUCCGCAAAGGUUCAUGAAGCUCCGUCUCCGUUCGUUCGUUCGUUCGUUCGUUCGUUCGUUUGUUCGUUUAUACCUUCGUUCCGUCGUUCGUUUACUCGGCGUGUGUUUGGUCGGCAGCGGAGCAGGCGUUCGCGUUCUCUCGUUCAGGCGCGCGUCUCGCGACGGGUAUUAUUUUUAGAAGAAUCCAAGUCCGCGUCGGUCGGUCGGUCGGUUCCUCUGCCGGGUUUACGCACCGUCGAUUACGCGUCGCUCCCGACUUCACCUAUACCCGUAACUCGACGAUGGGAUACCGGUUGGAGCCUCUUUCUACAGGCCGUUCCAACUCGAGUUCCCCUCGAGAGAAAGAGAGAAAGAGACUGUGAGGCAUAUCUUUUAAUUUUUAUUUUAAAGAAUGGCGUGUCUCACAAACACUUCCGUACAUUGGAAUAUUUUUCUAUCUAUCCAUCUUGUCUAUAUUUCGUAACACACGAACUGACUUCCAAAGCAUAAAAAUUAGGGGAAAAUGAAAUGUGACGAAAAUCUGAUAAGGUUCCUUGCAGGAAGGGGAUAUUAUGUAACUGAGAAGGCACGUUGCAGUUCUGGAAAGAAACAACUGAUAACUUUUGUUUCAUGAAUUUUGAAUUAGCUUGCAACAGGCGCGUUCGCGAAUAUUCAAUUGGACGCUUUGCGAUUUUCUUGCGGCAACAACGGACUGGAAUUAGUGGCGAUUAGUAAUAGCGCGAUAACACAAUUUAAUCUCGUGUAACGUCGCAACGAGGUCAAAUCGAUCCUCUUUGUAUAUUUAAUUCAAUUUCCUCGUCUUCGUCGCGCUGUUGUUUUAAUGUUCUUGGAGUAUUAGACACUGGCUGCACGAUCAAUUCUUGGCUCGUAUGCGUCGGCCGUUCCAAAUAAGCUGACCUAUCGCCCCCCGUAAAUCCGGCAGAGCUUAUAAACACAUCGCCGCUAAUGAGCGCCAUUAAUUACUACGCCGCAAAUGUAGAAACCGUAGUUUGCACGCGGGCCGCGCGCCGCUGCUAAUAAUUCAUAAUCAUUUUCCCCGGCAUCUGCUUCUCGAGCCUUCGAACGCGGCGACCCUUGUAUCGCCGAUGUACGAACGGCCAGGUUCUAUUCCCCGCUGAAAAAAUACGAUCGACGUUAAUUUAUUCUUUCGUCUUGUGCGCUAGAGCCGCGCGCCGCUUUUACGGCCCGUUUCGCUGAGUAAGUAAUUUGCAUCAAAAGCCUCCGGUUUUUCGUAACUCCCUUCGUAAACACAUCAUGCGCAAACACACGACGUACGCGCUAGUAUUUCGUAAUCCCGCUACACCGGCGUUUUAUACUACCUAAUUGAUGCAGAGUGCCACUAUCAAUAUGCGAUAUGUGCCACUGUAAUAUGAAGUAAUACGUCAGGGCGUUCGGCGAUCUAUAAUAAACUGUCAUAAUUGAGAUCCAUAAAAUAUUUUAAUUUUAUUGCUCCGCGCUAUUUGCAACUUUUUCUAUUUCUUUAUUUGCUCGGCAAAUGUCGAAAUACUCGAAUCGAUAAUCUAUAGAUUUGACUUUUGUUAUACGUAAUGAAAAGUUUUGCGAUGAUACAUUAUUCAUAUAUUUCUUUGCACACUUUGUGGGACGGUUCACGUCGAUUCACGUUUGCAAGAUUCUUUGGAAAUAAAUUCGUGGAAUUGUCGAUUUUCUUUAGAAAAUCUCUAUGAAAAAAUUGACUUGAAAGAAAUCGCUUUCUCAUGUCACGAACGCAUCGACUGAUGUACCCUUGCUUUAUGGCGGAAAGUCUGUCCAGUCCAAUUUUGUGCGUGCAUAUACGGUCGUAACACGUCGUCAUUCGUGUAUGACUUAACGAUGCGGCGGCCGAGAAAAUGGAACUAAUAGUCUUAAGCUUUCUAAUCGUCGAUUACGACAUCCUUCGCGAAGACCGCAACUAGGCAACGCUCGCUUGCAAGAAACUUUAAUGCCGCCUCCGCGCGGCGCGGCGUGUCCGCCUCCUCUCUUUCUCUUUCUCUCUUUUUCUCUGUCGCUCGUUCUCCCUUUAAACUCCAUCGUUUUAUGCACCGUUCGGGGUCUUGCCUAUUUUUACUCGCCCACACGAGACAUCGUAAAGAGCAGCUAGAGCUGGACAAAAAUGCCGGUGUUUGGUUACAGCCGGAGUGCAUUGCAGAAUCGGCGAGUGAAAAUGACACCUCGCGCCUCGUCAUCAUCGGGCUAUAAUAAGAUUAGAAAUGUAUAAAAACAUCAGGUGUAUUUUUACGCAUAUCUAGCGCUGAAGCACUACUUCCAGGGCAAAUCUAAUUAAGCAAUUUCCUGCAGGCACUUUAUUAAUAUGGAAUUUUUUAUACAUCUUUAUAUUUUUUCAUUAUUUUAGAAGGAAUUUAAUCAAAUAAAUUUUAUUCUAUUCAUUAAUUGCACAAAGUGGUGUGCUAUUCUAAUGUUUCAUUAUAUUUGACGGAUGUUCGACUGAAUGUAUCUCUCUUUCUCUUGUUUCGGGACUCUCACGCGGAGGAGACGGUGGCGAUGACCGAAUGAAUCGCGGGAGAACAGAGAACGCGCGAUGCGUAAGCGGAGCCGAAUCGACAACAACCUUUACCUUCACUUCGCCCGGGUUGUUCCGCACGUUCCAUUCACGAAUUUCACUUUCACGGCCACGGCCGCGCGACGACGACAACGUUCUCGCAUUCGCUGCGAGUCGCCCGCGCCGAAAUGUUAAGCGCGAACAUUGACAUUCGCCGCGCUGUUCGAACGCUAUAAAUAUUUUGCACGCGCAAAACGCGCAAGAUAACGCGCGUUGCCUUGAUCUCUAGAAGCCAAUCGAGUGCAAAUUAUGAUGUCUUUCAGGUGGCCGACUUCAGCAUAUUCGUACUUGGGUCAUAAAUUCUAGAACGUUAAACUUUGAGACGCAUAUUAGUUCAUUGAGAUGAAAAGCAUAUAUAACUUAUGCAUGCUCGAAACCUAUGUAUCUUAAAUCUGAAUUAUCUGGACGUAUAAUGAACUUAAAUUUAGUUUAUUAUUUACUAGGAUCAUACACUAAAACACCAUUUAAAACUUUUAUUUAAAGAGAUAGACAAAUAAGGUGUUUUCUGCUUUAAAAAAUGUAUUUUUAUAAAGCAAGAUUAAUUGUGAUAAUACACAAUAGAAGCGUUUCUCUAAAUAAAUGUAUGUAGUCUCAAUACAUUAACUGAAAUUAAAAAGUAAGCAAUUUUUUUGCACUUGUCAUUUUUGUUUUGCGGAGAGAAUUUUUAAACGUUUAUUUUUAUGUUUUUUUUAUUCGCGAGCGUUCUGUAAUUCCUUAACUGUAAGAAUAAUAUACAUUUUGCAAUAAAAUCUCUUUAUAUGUGUUUUUUUGUUUUUCGUAAUCUCAUUUGUAACCACUUUUUUCUAUAUGUCACGAGAUUAAAAGUCUCUAACUCGCGCGACUACCUCCAGCAUAAAACUACAGUGUCUCGUUUAUUACUGACCUGUACGAGUACGUUACAAUUGCGAAUUAAAUAGCGAUGCACACAGAAGCGUCGUUCUCGAAGUUUAAAUCACUGUGCAAAGCAAACUCCCAUCACGACAAUUUUGUAACGUAAACGUACAAUACGCCUCGCGUGCGCCGCGCGCGUAUUGAUUUUCUUCUCCGUGUAUAUACGCGGUCCGCCCAUCAUCGUUUUUCCUAUGAGAAAACUUCGGCACCCGAAUACACAAUCCGCGCCGCCGCGCGAUCUAAAUAUGCAUAUAUUCCAGGGUUAAAGUAACACAGUCCGAGUCAAAUUUAAAUACCCUUCGUGGUUUUUGAUUCGCGGGCAAACAAACAUCCUGUUGAGAAUACUUAGGGUAACUUUGCCAGCUUAUUUACCGAGACCUGAGAGAGCACAAUAAAUCAGUAUCGUCUCCAGAGACGAACUCUAGUGUUUGUCUCAAAUGUUUGUCUCGGGAAAACGAGAUUUCCGUGUUCCUUGCGGGACGGAUAAAAUUAGCUCGUUUCGUAUUACGUUGACGUUAUUCCGAUUCAAGGUACAAAUGAUAUUUAUAACAUUUCCGUAACUCGUAAUAUCUCGGCGGGACUCUUGUACUUUUUAACCAGAAUAUAUUUGAAAAAAGUAUAAAUUGCAUAUAAUUUGCGAAAGAACUUACAAAUUAUUGUGAGCAAAACAGUCUUACGCAAAACAUAUGGAAAAAAAAGAAAAAGAAAAGACAUACCAAUAUUAUAAAAUAUAUAAUAAUUCUAAGGUACACUCCAAACAGAUUUUCGCCAAAUUUAUUAUUAUCUAUUUAUUGUUCUUUUUAUCGAAAUAAAAUCGUUAUUUUUAUUUUCUAAAAUUGCUGUUCUCUCCCUACCAAUUCUUUUUUUUUUGUUGAUGCCUUUUUUGUAAAUGGACCGCAGCCCCUGUCCCCAAAUUUGAUGGGAAAAAAAUUCGACUUUCUUCGUGAUGGAUAUGCGCAAUGGACAGAUAGAUGCUCGUUGUUGGCGAUAGCCAGCACAGCAACGAUGCACGUAUAUGCAUCGGUCGUGUUGUUGGAUCAAUACGCGCCUAAGCCACCGUGCUUACUGCUGCGUUUGACCCUCCAUCUGUGGAGCAACAAGUUCUUCGGGCUUAUAACGGGUGUCCCGCUGCGGUCUCGCCCUUACGACGACGCACGAAAUGAUCGCACCCCUCCGGGUCCCAAUUAAGGUUCGUUCUACUCGCGACGAGCGGCCACCCCUCGCGCGCGAUGCGAGACGAGAGGAUCUCUUCUCUCUUGUCUCCAUCUAAUUAAAACGAUCGCGCAUUAAUUGCAAUUAAGGACAACUUAGCGCCGGCCGGAAGCGCCGGCGGACUACAUGUGUGUCGUGCGUGUUUGCACCGCCCUGCUAUUAACUGCAAUUGUGGCAAACGUGGAAGGAAGAGGAGAGGCUUUUAUAAUUACUACCUUGAAUACUAUAUCGCGUGAUUUAUCGUCCUCGAGUUGGUAUUUUUAUAAUAUCAUUUAAAUUCAGAUCUACGCGCGUGGAUUUUAAUUUUUUGUGAUGAAAAAUUAUUUACAUUUCAGAAAUUAAACACAAAUUGCUGACAUUUAUAAAUUAAUAAGAAAAUGUAAUGCAGUUGUAAUAUUAAAUACAAAUUAUUCUUUUAGUACAAUUAUUGGUUGUUUACGUUUAUCGAUGAACGUACCAUAAUUAAUUAAUUCGCCUCUGUAUUGGCUGAAAUGUCCAGAGUUGAAGAUGAUAACGCCGAGAUGUUGAUAUUACCAGUUCCGUGAAAGUAUCCUUCUCUCUCGUCUCAACGUUUAGUAGGGAACUGUAUUUCGCCACUCCUCGACACGGUCGUCGGGGUUGAACUGCCUGUCUUUCAUCCGGCGACGGACCUUCGACGUUUACGACAAAACGCGCUUUCGCGGUAUCGUCGGGGGGGACCGGCGCGUAGAAAAGCUCUCGCCUGGGUGGCAGCCACGUGGGUAGUGAUUAAUUGUGACAAGGCGCAAACACACCAUACACGCAAUAUACACACGCCUCUCUCUCUCUCUCUCUCUCUCUCUCUCUCUCUCUCUCUCUCUCUCUCUCUCUCUCUCUCUCUCUCUCUCUUUCUCUCCGUUAUCCUCGCGUACACGAAAGGCCAUACGUAUCGGCGCACCCGCAUACGAAACACACGCGCAGGCACGCACACGCGUACUCGUGCGCUCGGCAGACUAUGGAUUACGUGUGCGCGUGCAUGCGCGUGGGCGCGCGCGACGUGGCGUUCUCGAUUAGAGAAUAGUGCAGUCGCUCACGAACUACCGUGUCGCGUAUGCAAUCGAGAUCGCGAGCGCAUACGUAGGACCGAUCUCUCGCUAGGGGCACGCGAGGGUAACGAGGCGGAAACGGGGGCAGAAAUGGAAAUCGUUGCCGAUCCUCGUCCGCCGCUCGGUUGCAUCGUCCGCCACCCGGUGAGUGAAACUUUGCGCGCGAGAGAGUCAUAGACAUCGUAAGUAAUGAUAUAUCACGCGAAUCGAACUCGCCGUUUGAUAUUCAGCGCACACUCGGAGCUCGAUAUGUUCUGUGCAAUUCGGAAUAAUUCGCAGUAUUCAAGUUUCUCUCGGUACAUUGACAAUCGUCACCUUACACUUCAAGUUUCAUGACAAAUAUUGUUGCGAAUUUCUUCUCCUCGAUCGCUCUCAUAUAGCGCGCCAUAUAUCGAGCUCCGAAUGUGUCGCUGAAGACAUUCAAAGUUCAGAUAUCCCCUCGCGGGAUAAUCCGAUGUCACUUUCCCAUUUUUCUGCUCGCCUCGCCCGUUUCUCUCUCUCUCUCUCUCUCUCUCUCUCUCUCUCUCUCUCUCUCUCUCUCUCUCUCUCUCUCUCUUCCUCUCUCCCUCUCUCCCUCCCCCUCCCUCCCUCCCUCCCUCCUGCUUCCCGUCGACGCGAGGUCGGAAGCGUUCCGAUAAUCCAAACCCAAGCGCUUAUAGAUGGAGACUGCGGACGUUCUCGAGGAGAAGCUUGAUCUCCGCUCUCGCAAACCGGGAAUGGCAGGACGACGAGGCGAGAAAGGACUCUCGCCAAAAUGGUGGGAGGAUCAGAAGGGAUGCAGGUUGAGGAAGGGAGGGGAGUCUCCCUAACACCGCUAUUUAUUCUCCAAGAGAGUCUCCGCGUCUCUCCAUCCGGUCCGGUCUCUACGCUCGAUUUCGCGGUCAGAAUUUGCGGAAUGUCCGUGGCUGGAACCCGUCCAUCCGGUUUUUUAAUUGCAAAAAGGAUCUGCCGAGACCGGGAGAGGGAGGGGAGGGGGAAGGCAGUGGAUCGUCGCUGCAAAACUCGCUCUCGGGACCUUAAGUCCGCCGACAGGACUCGACUCCUUCGAACGCGCGGAAGACGAGUCCUCUGAAAGCCGCACGAGCGACGCAUUUCGUACGGGAAUCUUCGCGAUCGCAAAGUCGCAUUCACGUUAUUUUCAUUUAAAAAUGCUUUUAUGAAUUAUCGUAAAGCACAAUCUCUUCUUCCAUGCGUUUUUCAGCACUUUGCUUUAGGUCCAUGUUUUUAAACUAUAACUAAACGUUUAAUAUUUAAAUCAUAUCAAUAUCGUAUCAGAUUAAUAUGAAAUAUUAUCAUUUACAUUGUUAAUGAACAUUUAUAUUAGUUAUAUCAGAAUUGGAAUAUUAUUAAUGUUUAUAUCUGGUUUGGAAAUUAUCGCGAAAUGUAUAUAGUUUUAAUUGAUUACUUUAAUUGAAGGCAAAACGGAGUAGUUUGACGAUAAAUCUAUUAAGGCCCGUCUACAAAUUUCAUAAAAAUCAUAACUCAGGUUUAAUGUCGAGAUAACUCGUUAUUCUGCGGAUGAGUUACAAUUAAUAUUAAGAAGUAAUGAUUAUCUCCAGUUGAAAACGCUAUUAUCAUCACGGCGUUGUGCGUGGGCGAAAUAAUAAUACCAAAGCGAAAAUAGCAAAGACAAAGAACUUGUCUUCCGCAUAGAUCGCGCGUAUGUGAUGCAUAUCAUGGAUAAUGCACUUGCAGGUUUUCAUUUUAUCUCUCUCUUUUUGAUUUUCACAUGUCUUGCACUUCUGAAAAUAUUCUUUCGCCUAGAAUUCCGUCCUUUCAUUCUUCCGCGAAAUAUAACCAACACGCACAUUUGCACGCUCUUUUACAAUUAUUUUUUUUUCGAGACAAAUUUAUAUGUGUUAUUAGAAUCGCGUGUUCAAAGGAAUUUUAUCACAAAAGACAUAAUAAAUCUGACAUUUCAUAUUAUCCCUGUUUUUCUUCUCCUUUCCUGUUUCUUUCCCUUUUUCCUCUCCCUUCGCUAUCUCUCUUUGCCAGUCUCACCCGUUCCUUACUUUGUAUCUUUCCUCGGGGAGUUUACUUGGGCGGUUUAAGUGUUGCGGUUCGGUAACUCAUGGCGAUGGUUCAUAUACCAAAAGGAUAUCACCAGUGGAUCGCACCGGAUCAGGUUCCCCGACACUACUACUCUUACGCUCCCUAAAACUGGUUUCGUCAUUUAGACCCGCCCCUUCUGCGAGUCCUUUUGCCUUCAUCCGGCCGUUUCCUUCGGCGGUCCGAGACCGGCAUCAGGAAGGAUACUUUAAAUGCCCUACGAAAGGAAAGAGUUAUUCUUUGAGCCGUUCUGUUCUUAAACUGUCAUUGCACGGCGUAAUGUAUCAUUCGUAAUAAUUGCACCAGGAUAGCGAUUUACUAAAAUUUGUGGAUUGCAUUAAUUAUCGACUUCAUAAUGCGUGGUCCAGUGGUUAAAAUGGUCUUGUUUCGUGCAUUAAUUAUACGUAUUGGUACGAUGUAUCAUAAAUUAGGUGUUCACCGUUAUUUAGUAUCAAAUUUUGAUACUGAUAAAUUUAACUGAAACCAGUGUAAUUUCUGAUAACACAGCAUUGAAAUCUUUUUUUCCUGAUUUUGUGUAUCACGUUCUCUUCUCAAAAUAUUUAUGAUAAAAAAGAAAUAUAUAAUUAUUACACGAAAGAAGCAAUUUUGUAAUUUUAUGUUAAAAAAAAAAUUUUACAUUGAAAGAUGAAGAUAAUUAUAUGACAAUUAUGAAACUGGAGCACAUUCAAGAGGAAAGGUGAAAGGAAUUCGUGUAAGCGUUGCAUCGUUCUUGGGUGAUUGAACUUCGUUUUUCGAUUUGGACAAACAAGUCGAGAGUGCGUGCGUGUUUUGAAGGGUUCGUGCGAAGAAUGUUUAUUCGCGAUAUCAGUACGCGCUCGCGGCGUUACGUCGUUGCCGAGGCGCGAGUUUUUUCGCGAAUCGGCAAACUACCGGUGGCGGCAAAUUCGCGCGGUCGUAGCCCUUGACAAAUUCGUUAUCAACGGCACACGUCGUAAAAAUUCUCCAGCACUCUCGCUUUUUUCUUUCACGCCGCCGUGACCUCGCCGGCAUUUCGUCGUCUCGUGAGGUAGUCCUCUUUUCGGCGCACAAUACGAAUGCCCCUUAUCGUAUGCACUUAUCUCAAUUCGUGCCUGCGGCUCGUCAGGUCUAAAUUAUCGUCACGCGCAUGUGUAUUGCAUGUGUGUGUGUUUAUGUUAUGCGUUUUUUCUGUUUCCAUUCGCGUACGUGCUCGAGAAACAGAGUUUUCGUGCCGCGAAGUACCACUUAGUUUCAUUUUACAAGUAUAUCAUCUUUUUGUCAUCAAGAAAUUGUAUUUUCUCUCUCACUAUCACUCGCGCAAAGAAAUACAAUCAAAAUAACGUUCGUAAGGGUUGAAUGUUCUGUGUCAGUAUAUUUCUUUUCUCUUGAAUUGUUAAGUUAGUAUAUGAUAUCAUAUUUAAAAAUUGCCAUUUGCGACUGAUGAUCUUUUUUUUUGUACGAUUCAAAUAGUUUUUCUUCCGCUGAUAAAUUUCUUUACUCUUCUGCUAAACUUGCGUAUACCUUUAACUUAUGAUUUGUCAUCUCUUACUAAUUACCACACGUCAUAUUCAGCAAAUGGGUCAAAGAGAUGAUAUGUAUGAUUAUUUUAAAUGACACAUUUGGAUAAACCGCAGUCUACCGUUUCCGAAACCUCUUCGUCACUUUGACAGGAGAAAGAAAACACCUGUCAUUCGCGAGUAAUUGGGCAUGAGUAUUCUAAAUAUUAUUUCACAACCAGUACUUGCGAUAUCCGCUUUUUCGACCGCAAACCCAACAGCAACCUGUCGGUUCUUUUAUGAACUAUUAUCUUCUGUUGACCGUGCCAGUUGGCCGAUCUUCACAAAAGCGCAGCAUCCGGCGAAAGAUCCGAACAGGCGGCGAAUGAAACGCCAAUGAGUUUACUGGUCGGUUACUCAUCGAAAGCGGAAGAAAGUUUCUUGAAAACGCUCUUCUCAGUUUUGGUUCAAUGUAACUUUAAUAUCAAAACGUAAUUAUUAAAAUAUUGGAAAUUAUUCAAUAUGUAUGAAUAUAUGUCGAUUUAUAUUUUUAUUAUUGUUUUAAUAAUAAAAAAGGAAACUGUUUUGCAUUUUACUCUAUACUUCUUCUGAUUGCUUUGGUUCAUCACGUCGAUUAUAAUUCUUUCGCAACCACGAUUGCGUUAAACAUUUUCCGCUGCUUUGUUCCCUCCCUUUUAUCUCAGAACGUACCUCCACAGGAAUUUAAUAAACCGCGUGCCACUGGGAAGCACGAUGAUCUUUCAGUGAGUUUCAUUGAACGCGAAUCUCAAUAUAGUAAUGAUUAUCACUGCGGUGAGAAUUUGUAAAUGUUUAUUGUGUAAAGUAUCUUUUAACAUUGUCUUACUUUCUCAGAAUAUAAAUAAAAUCGAUGUUUUAAUAAUCUUAAGAAAUAGAAAAACUGAGAAACAUUUUAAUUUGCAGCAAUUGUAAAUCGCAAAAUUGCGAAAUAUUAAAUCUAACAUUUUAAUGAUAUGCACACAAAGAAAUCUUAAAUAGAUUUUAAAGUAAAACGUUAACAAAUUGAUUUAUGUACCCUGUACAUUAAUGUGUAUCGAAAUCGUUGGAGCAUUGAUUUAACGUUAAAACCAGACGAGAGCACAUUUGAUGUCCAAGAUUGUGUCCGAGAAGCAUAAAAAAUUACGUCACACUAGAACGAUCCAUCGAGUCUGGGACGUGUGUAGGAUAUAUCACGGCACCCUUGUCGCCUGCUCUUCUUCUCUCUGUCCCUCUCGUGUUACCUUUUCGUUUUUUUUCGUUCUUGCUCGUGUAAGGCGAGUGGAGCGGACGUGCAACAGAGAAAGGGGGCACCCUCUCGCCCUGAAAAGUGUUCUGCCCUAGGAGGCUGGCCUUUGGACACAACUAAUCGAUAUAGGCCGUUCGAUAUGGACCUCGGCAUAGUAUGUACAGCCGAACGCAAAAGUUCUCCCAGCCCCCGGUUUCUCGAUACCGUCGUCGUGCAAUAUCGAAGUCGGCCAUCGCAAAGUUGUUUCAGCGGCUUUGUCCCGUUUGUCACUGACAAAGUCACGAUUCUUACUUCUUAGAUAUCCUUAUUUCGCCAGACAGAAAUUAAUGCACUUACCUAGUUAGUGCUGCAAGGGAGUUCAAAAAACGUACAUCUAAAGAGUAUAAGAAGAUAUAAUCAUUGUAUUUCUUCUCGCGUUUUUAAAAAAAUGGAAAUAUCUAUAUAUCUUUAAAAGUUCAAAGGUUUAGAAUAAUUGUUUUUUAUGCUUAGGUGCUUCGCACUUCUAUUCUGUGCACCACGAUUUGUUUUCUUUAUCAUGUUGUAUCGAACGAUCAACGCGUUUGUUACCGGCCUUCAACGUUACAACGGGAUCGCAUCGAAGUUAAAGUCGCGAUGCUAUCUUUUAUUAACGCCGCGAUCCCGACGAGGAGCAGCGGGUGUUUGCUCGCGUUGAAAGUGAGAUCACUGACAAUCAAAUUGCAGGUACCAAGUAAUAGCGAGUAGGCGAGUAGGCGGGAGGGAAGGAGAAAGAGAGAGAAGCACCGUGAUAUUAAACCGACACCUGGUCUCGCGCCGCACCUUGCAACCCCGGUCCCUUCCAUUUUCUUCUUUCCGGCUCUCCCCUCCGCCUCCUGUCUGUCUCCCUUCUCGCGCUCGCCUAGCUCCUCGCCUUGUUCUGCGAGCACCUUCAUAAUCCUGUAUGUCGCAACUCGCGCCAGAUGAUUUUCGAGAGGACGAUACCUGCAUCGUCGAAUUUUCGGCUUGUUGCAUACGCAUGUGUGUGUUUGUGCACACUCGUGCACUCCUGGGCGCUAUUGCGGGACCGUACCCUGCGGGCGUCACGCAAACCCUAAAAAAUGAUCGCGCAUAAUUCGGUAUCUUGUGGCGAACGGUGUCUUAUGUGUUGCGAGUAAGCCACACGUCCCGAAUUUGUGGUUUCUCCGGUUGUAAUAUUUUCUCGUUCAUUCUAUUGUCGUUUCGUCUUUUCGAGCAGGCGAAAAGGUCUCAUGGUUUUUUUUUUUAUUUGAACUUGUCAAAUCAAAAAGAUGAAUCUUAUGUUGUAACUUUGAAGUACAUUUAACAGAUGGAUAUCUUGCUAAACUUGAAUUUACACGUUUUGAGAGUAAUAGUUACAAUUUUGAUAAUUAAACUUGAAAAAUUUUUUAAAGCUUUUUGAGCUAUGGUUUACAAUUCGCUGCAAGCACAUUACUUACGUAUCACUCUACAUUUCGUAUUUUCGUAUUUGUAGAACGUGUCGGAGUUGAGUAAAGAUUUUUCUAGUUCAUGAUUCCGUGUCUAGAACGCACACGAGCGCCGCAGGACAUCCCAAAUGGGAUUUCAAGCUGCUGCCUGGCUAUCGUCACUCAUCGUUAGCUGCGCCAUGUGAUUCGGUCCAGAGGCGACGGAUUUGAGGGGGGUUAACCCCCCGGUUACAAUGCGCUAUAUGAGUCAUACGUGACGUGUGUAAACGCACAUGAGAGGAAGGCCCCCCUUCUAACCAUCACGGUUUCGCCCCACGAUCGAAUCUAUCGUUGCAAUGUUGAUAAAGUUAAAUGUCGCCUUUUCCGUUCCCAUUCUUAUGUACUCAAAUUUUAUUUGGAAUGAAAACGACUCUACCGCGUAUCUCAAAAAGUAUGGAAAUUCAUAUAGGAUGCAUUAUAAAUCUACAAAAUUUUAUUUUAUAUAAAGUAAUUACAUAUUAAAUUAAAAUUAAAUUAAAAUAUAAUUACAUAUAAAGUAGGAUCUUUUUUAUACUUUUUCAUUUAUUUAAAAUAUUAUUUAUGAAACAAAAAUGCACUUGCAGCAAUUAUAUAAAAUAAGGGGAUGCUUUUAUAAUUGUCAUUUCGGGUAGUGAGCAUAUAGAAUAUGCACAGUGGUCUGGGAUAAACGAAGAGAGUAUCGCUCGGUGCAUCUCGACCGUCCCUAGAGACUCGCGACAAAAGGGUUGCAGGCAAGGGUAGCACGAGGGAGAGAUUUGUCAGUGGGAUCUGUAGCUCGGGAGAAAGGCGCGAGAAAGAGAGCGAAGGGAAGAGGGAGAGAAGAAGCGGCUUUAGGACCGAUACUGCGAGGAAAAUGAUGUGAGGGCGAGGGGAGACGUCACCGCAGGGGGUGGCUAAUUUAAUGACUGCCGAUUGGCUAUGCAUAGAACACGCGCAUGGGUGGGCGCCCGUUUAUUCGCACGUAUGGUGUGUCUUCCUGCGUGUAUAUGUCGUGCGUAUGUAUGCGUGCGCGCGCACGCACUUGCACCGACAAUAUCAGGAUUCCUGGUUUGCAGUUUGCACGUGGGCGAACAAUGACGAGGCUUUAACUGAUAACCCACAUGUUCUUGCAGGAGUAAUUUGUGAGAGCUUCACCUUGAUUGGCAUUUCUGUAAUACAAUCAAAGAGAACUUGGUUGGAAAAAUUCACUGCUUUAUAAAUUUUAAUUAUAUCUCUUUCUCUAUAAAAUUUUUAUUUAAAUUUAUAUCGUACAUUUAACAUCAUCUGCAUAUUAUGUUAGAAUAUUUGAUGUUUUUAUAACCCAGAAGGACUUGGUUCUGAUUAUGUAUCUCACAUGCUCGUUUUCUAUAAAAAUUUACAUCUGAACUAUCUGCAUUUUAUGUUAGAAACACAAUAACCUCCAUAGCUUUUAUAACUAUUUUAUCAUGCGAACGUUAUGCAUUAUAUUUAUAACGAUCAUAAAGUGGCCGGAAAAUUUCAUAUUCUAUUAUCUCCACCGGGAAAAUGUCAGCGCUAUUGUACCCGUAGAUAUUAUUCCUCUUAGUAGAGGAAAGUGUUAUGAUAAUGAUUCAUUCACGGCUUCCGCGUUUAUGUUCUAGCACGGUAUAUUCGUACCACAUUUAUACUCCACCUGCGCUCGGAAUGACAUCGCUGCAUAUAUUUAUUAUAUAUGAUUAUGUAUCGACACUUGUCCAAGCAAAAAGUUUGUCGAUCAAUAUAUGUAUCAUGUUUUAAAACGAUUGCAAUCUUUUUUAUUUUUAAUACCGGAUAUUUAUUCGGUAUAUUACCAUGAGUCAUCGAUGAUCCAGGAAUGUAAGUUUCCCUACCGAUUACAAAUUAACUGAUGAUCUUCGCGGAACACAUGUGCGUGAGAAAAACUUACAUAAAUAUGCAUUUUCGCAAUAAUGAUUGCUACAUCGGGAAGUUUUUUUCUACUUUGAACUUGUAGAUUGGAAAUGGAUUUGCGUCAAUAAGUGCGAAUAGAAUCGCAAGUAUUUCUAAUUCUCCUUAACAGUUGAUAAAAAUAUCGAAAACCAGAGGAACUUUUGUUUAUGGGAUUCAAUAGCUCUACAUCCUGUGUAGGAAGUAGCGUAAACUAUUUAAAGAAACCGAAGAAACACGUGAGAUGUAAAGUAAUGACAACAGAUUAUUUAAAGAUGCACCGCCUUAAGUUUACACUGUGUGUUUUUCUUCUCGCACGCGUCGUUAUGAAAGCUUCUCGUUUUGUCGGUUCCUUUUUUUUUAACACGUGCUCACAGCCGUCUUCUUUAAUCGCCGAGAAGAAGCGUACUACAUAGAAUCAAACGCGUUAUGCAAUUCCAUCGAUCGAUGUUAUUAAUAGGCACUGUCGUUUCUUCCGCGGAGUUAUUGAUAGAGAGCUAUUUUUCACGUAAUAAAAGUUUGUCCCACGAGCCAAUACUUUACAUAAUUAUAUUUAUGUGUUUUGUUGGCUUUAUCGGACCCUCAUUAUCGGGUCUGCGUAAUCAUAAAACUUGAAUUAAAAUGCGAUAAAAAUGCGAAUAACUUGAUUAAAAGUGUUCUCUACUGCGUUUUUAAAUAUGCAGAUAAGUGAAUAAUGAUUUUUUAUUUAUUAAUGAAACUUAAAAUAACUUAAAAUAUUAAUAGACGGUGUUAUAUAUAUUAUAAUAUAUAAGUGUUCUACAAUUUGUGCGAUCUUAAUUUCCUAAUAAUAGAUUUUUUAUUUAGCUAUUUACUCGAUGAAAGUGUCAAUACAUCAAAUGAUUUUCAAAUAAUUGAAAAAGGUCUUUCUUGCGCGAAAUAAAUUUUAGAGAUAAAUUUAUGAAAACUCCAUUCUGUGUAAUCCUAUUUUUCAGUUAAACAAAAUUUUCUUUGAUGAAUAUUGUAUUUUAUGGAGAUUUAAUUACGAAAAAAUGUAAUCUCGAAAAUUGGAAGAUUGCGAUAAAAUGACACCUUUAAAUAUUUCUGUUAAAAAAUUAACUCCAGUUUAGUCCAGUUUAGUAGAAAUCUUAAUUAAGAUUGCGAACUUUUUGUCGAACUAUAAAUAUUCGAGUUCAAUAAUGAAGAACGUCGACGCUGAUAUCUAUUUAUAUGCCAUUACAUGUAAUUAAAGCUAAUUCGGAAUUGAUACUUAUUUAAAAAAAACCUAAAUAUGCAUCUAUAAACAAAUAAUUCACUUUUUUCUACGAAAAUGUAUUUUUGAAUCAAAGAAAUUUCAUCAAUUUUAUAUCAUUAUAUUAUCAUCAUUCUGGUUCAAUAGUUAAUUUGUACGUAUUCACGAUUUAAGAAGGUCAACCGUAAUUUUAGAAUCACCCUGCAUUGUCGAUACUAAUUUCUAAUAAGGAACCAUAAAUCAUUCGCGUUUCACAAUACCGCUAGUUUAGUCGAGUAGGAGUGACGUGCAGCCUCCGCUGUUAUCAACGAAAAUUUGAUUUGCGUCGGACAUUUAUUAUCAAUCACCGUUUCGGGAAUCACCGCGCCGAUGGUUGUUACUGUACCUUGAUGCACUUCCAUUACGGACGAACGAUGCCGGGGAUUAACAAGCCGAGAUUUCCCACGCGUUGUUACGAGGGGAAAGACCCGUCCGUCCUUCCUCCCUCGCUUCCCCGUUCAAGCGAAUUAUUUUAAUUUCGAGGGUUACAGUCGCGAUUCUAUUCCCCGACAGAGCAGCGUCACUUCUCCUCUUCUCUUUCAUCUUCCAUUACCUCCCUUUUCUCCGUGAAAUCUAUCGUUCGAUCGCUCGCUUCUCCCACUCGUGCGACAUCCUGCUUGUUCCUGUAAUAUGAUUUCACCGAAAUCAGCGCGACAGAUGCUAACAUAUGCAAAUCCAAUUAUUCUCGGAGUCGAUAUUCGCGCAAUAGAGAAAUAUUACAAGAUUUAUGUCGAAAUGCAAUUGAAUAAAAGAAGAAUAUUUGCAAUUUGCAAUUUCCUCGCAUUAUAUCUUGAGGCUACCGUUGAUGACCAUACGGUUUUAUAACAUGCAUGUUUCCGGGAAAUCGAAUAUUUAGACGUAAUUAUAUAAUUGUAUCAUUAGAGCAUAUUUUUGUUGGCGUAGUUUCGUUCAAUUAUUCGUGUUUUCAUCAUCUCCCCGAACAUUCUCGGAGGAUUUGUUGUCCUAUGGACGCGAAAAUCAUUCCGUUUUUGCCGAUUCGCCGAUGGCGGUGUUCUUUUCACAAGGGAUACGCGUGCGGGGCUUUAUCUUCCCGCGCCAUGUGUCGACGACGUAAUUUCUGGGACAGGUUUUGUAAGGGCGGACACGUGCAGCAGCCGGAUCGUGUGCAGGACCCCUCGUGAUAUUCGUCCUCGCUCGCGUGUCGCGCAGAGCGUCACGAGCGCUUCACGUUGUUAACAUUCGGUGUCUCAAUUCAGUAUCUGCCAGAUACUUGCUAUUCUCAGCAUUCCGAUAUUUUUUGAAAGAAUCCUUUGUGAGAAUUUUUCAUUGCAAUAAUAAUAAUAAUAAUAAUAGUAAUCAUAAAGAUCAAAAUAAUCGUCGUGCUGUCGACCAAGUAAAUUAAUUCCGAAUUGUUUCGCUAGAAAUAUUUCACGAUGACGAACUGCGUUCGGUGUAGUAUGCAAAUGCUAACGCAACAAUUAUGCCCGUAUGCUAAUAUAACACGGGGGCAUUUUUGUGUCGUGGAACAAACUUUAUUAGCACGAAACAUAGAUCGUUGGCGGAUAACAUUACCAUAUAGUGGCGCGGGUGAGUCGCUCUAGCCGCGGGAUUUUAACACGAACAAUGCGGACGGAUGCAACGGCGGAUGGCGCGGAAAAAUGAUACCGGCAUGAAGGUGUACGCGCGGAGAACGAUCUCGGGGACCCUCGAUUCUCUUGCAACGGGCCACCGGUCAGUCAUUAUUCCCGCACAAUUGUAAUUUCGAUGUGAUGUGUCGCGGGCAGCUGCGUUCUUCGGCGUGCCGCCGCCACCGCCGCCGCCACCACACCGUCGCUCUUUCAGCCGCGCUUGCGAUUAUCAUCCUUCGAUCGUACGAUCGCGUAAUAUCGCGGCGGAUCUGCCGUGUUCCUCGGCGAGCGAGAACAGCUGGAGGAAGUGUCACGAGACACGCGCUCAACCGGUCACAAAAUGCUGGUAAUCGUGCCGGUCGCUCGAUGAUAAAGAUGACUGCGGCGACGACGACGACGACGACGAUGGUUCGAGAGCAUAUUUAAUUGGCCCAUCGCACGAUAAGUAGCUUCAUUAACGCUGGGAAAGAGUGCGGGGUAAAUGGAACUUUGUCGGCGGUUUAUCGCUUGGCUCGUCGUAAACGCUCGAUGAAUUUGCAAGGGUUUGCAAUUAGUAAAAUGUGCGAGCGACAUAAAGAGCGAGAUAAGCGUACGCAGAAGAGAGCAGAAACGAUGCGCGGUCCUUUCUGUACGCCAGUGAAAGUAGAAUGAAUUCAAUUUUAUAUUUAGAGAUAUCUAUCCUAUUACUUCGGAGCCGCGGAGCAACAUUCUACUUGGGCUGUUUCAUCUCAUUAAACAUACACGAGUCAUUAAAUAUUUACAGCAAUUUUAUAAUUGCUCUAGAAAGGAGUUUUGCAUUAUCAUAUAAGUAUAAGCCAUGACGCCGCCUGUAAAAACUCGAGUGUCAUCCGUCUGAUUAGAAUUUGCACGCGGGCUUUAUCGGGCUUAAUCUACAAACUGCGAGCGCGAUGCAGGGAGAAAGUGAUCACAGAUUGGGAUAGCGUCUCUCUUUCUCUUUCUCUCUUCUCCUUCUCUCUCGGGGAUGGCAGUUCGACGACCGUGGAUUCGAUCUACGUUUGAUAUCUUAUUGCAUACGUGCGUGCGUGCGUGCGUGCGUGCUCGCGCACGAUACGAAACACGGCAGGAAGCUGUCGGUUUAGAUAAGAUCUGUAGGAACGAACGGACGGGGGCCCCUAAGUACCUCGCGCACAUCCCUCCAGUCGUUAUACCCCAUAAAAUGUACCCCUGCGCGCAAUAACCGACGCCGACCCUCCUCUCGGCCGCAGUGAUUCCGUCAGGUCGCGAUACCAGAGGCACACCCGGUAUAUACAUGCGUGAAGGUAAUUAUUGCGCGAUCUAUGUGUCGGUAAUUAAGAGUAAUGUUAGUUACGUCGAGGUGAGUAAACAAAGCAAUCGAGUUACACACUCAGGGUCUGCGCGUUGCUACUUAUUAGUAGUAGCCUGAAAAUCAUUGUUCUUACUCUCUAGAUCGCGAAAUAACGAUAUUGUUGCAUAAAUCACUAAUUGUCAUCUAAGAAUAUUACAGCGAAAGAGACUACAUGUAAAAUACUUCCCCCGGGGGACAUUUUUUUUUAAAUAAACACUUCGGUAUACAUUUCGUAUUAGUGAAAGCUGCAAUGGGCGAAACAGGACCGCGAAUCUAAGCGCGCGUGCGCGAAUGCCAGAUUAGGACGCUGUGUAGAGGAGACUAAGAGGAGGCCAAGAGGAGACGAGGAGCGAGAAGAGGAGAGGUACGAGAGAAAAUGAGAGAGAUGCGUGGGUGGACGGGCAGGCAGGGGAAGGUGCUAGACGUAUCGAUCAGGCCAGGGGCGGUAAGGUUCUCGACGGGAAAGGUGGCGACGGUAGGGAUUGUGAGAGGGGAAAAGAGGGAGAGAGGCAACCUUCCUCCUUCUCCUCCUCUUCGUCUUCCUCUUCCUUUUUCCGUUGCCCCCGGGGCGUUACGAGAGGAACUUCUUCUUCGGAGCUGGUGCGCGCGGAAGCGAGACGCUGAGAGGCCUCUUUUCGAACCCCUCUUGGUUCUUGUACCUUCCGGCUUUUGUCCCGGAACACAUGAGAGAAAGUUUUCUCGUCCUCCCUCGCGGUGUCGUAUCAUUUUUUUCCGGAUGCCUGCGACGCUUUGACUGAAAUGAUCGCGUGCAUAUUUCUCAGAGUAAUUAAAGAAGAAUAUGAAGAACUCUUGAGAGUGCAACAAACUAAUUCGAUGUUUUACAAAACGUAAGUCGAUUGGUUUGUUGAGAAGGAAAAGAUGCUAUAUUUUCCAUGGCAUGGUUUUAAAAGAAUCAGAACUGUUGACCUUCAUAGAUACAAUUUCUUUGAUUUAUCUUUGAUUUAUACUACUAUUGUCUCUUUUAUUCCCAUCUUGGAUCAAUAAUGAGUGAGGAGAAGAAUGGUUGGAAGAAAUGAAAAUAAAAAUAAACUUAGGGAGUUAAUAAUAGUAAGUAAAAUAAAUUUUAGCUUGCGCGAGGAUAUCGUGUUUCGCGUGUCUUUUUAAUGGAAUAUCAGGAACCAGUUUGGAAAGAAUUAAAAUCGUCGCACGUGGCUACUUUCGACGGGCGCGCGACGCAUGGGUGCACGCUCGCUCGUGGCAUAACUUGCAACUUGUCGUAAGUAACAGGUGGUUUCGGCCGCUGACGCCUGCAAUUAUCGGCCACGAAUGGCCGAUAGCGAUUAAAUCUUUUCGCCGUAUUUACGGUCCGUCCAAAAAUACCGUUUGCUCUCGAUUCCUUCGUAAUAUUCAUCGAAAUACUUUGUUACUUCCGUUAGGAAGCACGCGUCUCUUCAUCAUCUCGAGUAUUUUUAGGUAUUUCAAGUAUGUCCCAUUUAAAAUUACAAAUUGUGUAUAGAGAAAAGUUAGGCGCGCAAUCGCAAUCUAGGUGCGCGCGUACGGCGCGUCCCUUCGGAUGACGGAAGACCACACCUUUGGCGCGUGGGUUGAUGCGUUUCCGGUACGAACGGGCGCGACGUAACGCCAUCGCCAAUUGCGACCUCAUCUCGAGACGUACGCGUUAGGCGUACGAAAUACACGCAUACCUGACGCGUAUAUCCAAAGAUAUCGCGAUGUUCUAAUACGGUGUCGUGUCUACUAACGGUGUCAUGUGUCGUAUAAUAAUAUUGCGCCGAUUGUAAUCCCGCGCGUGCGGCCACACGUAAUCGGCGUAUAUCGGUUUACUCGAUACGCCGAUUCAAUUAAUUCGCGCGCUUAUGACAGCGCAAUUGCUCCGAUACGGCGAGAAGCGCGAGGUUCCUGGGAGGCGGAGAUUAAAAUCGAUGUAAUCCCCGUGGCUCCAAUCACUUCAAUGCUAUCUUCCACCCGUGUAUCUAUUAUAAUAAUGAUAUGCGCGGAGCAAUCGUUUUAAGCACAUAUUAUAUGAAUUAUUUAGAAUUUUAAAGACGUGGUAUUUUUCUCUGCGCGAGAUUGAAAUCAUUUUCGCGUAUUGACGAUAUGGAGAUUCGGACCCCGAAAUUAUGCCGGUUUCGAUAUCUGCCUCGCUGGAUCGAUACGUCCCGUCGUUUCGACGUGUUUCGAGAGGCGAUUUUACCGUUAGCGUCAUUUCGAUUCGCCACGACACUCGUUUUAGGCAUUUCCGAUCGGAAGGCACCUCGGAUGUUUGCCUUCUGGCCACUCGCCAUCCUGUCGAUGUUCGUCACGCACCGACAUUUUACUGUUACGCAUGAUGCCGGCUACGCACGAGGGAAGACAAUCGCGACGCGGAUUGUUAGUUCUUUCCUGCCCCGCGAUGUCUAGAAUACAUAGUUAAAGUAAAUUUGAAUGUCUCGAGUAAUAAAUAUAACAAUAUAUCACGAUUUUUAGAAUAAUAAAAACUUUUUACCGUGAGACUUUAUCGUGUCAGAAAAAACAAUUUUUUUGACAAUUAAUUUUUAAGUGAAAGCAAUUUAAAGUUAAUAAAUGAGAAUUCUAAGUUAUUUAUGAAUCAUCAUUUCCACAAGAGUCUUAUCUAUGGAAUAAGUGCAUAUGUAAAUGGAGAAGGCCUGUAUUUCGAACAUAUGCUUUAGAAUGUUAGUACAACAUUUUGGAUCUAAUCUACAUAUCUAAUCUUACUUAUUUUACUUUCAGCCGUUACUUCAGAUAUCAGAAAAAUUCUUUUUAUUAAGUAAGUCGAAUUUCAAAUAGUGAUAUUUAAAUGUCAUAACUGUUAUAAAACUUUAAAGAAAUAGUAAAACAGCAUAAACAUUCAACGCUCAAUCGUUUCUGAAUUAUAAGCAACUUAGAACAGUCGUUAAUUUUAAAUAACUAGCUUUUAAAAACUAUUGCUCGAAAUUUCAAAAGAAAAAGUUUAUAUUACAACAUAUACAUUUUUUUGCAUUAUAAUAAGAGAUUUUUACAAAUAUUUUUCUAACAAAACUAUUCCUUUCUAUCUAUUCUUAUCCAUUGAUGGCAUAAUCGUAGAACCUAUUAUCUACACGGGGUGCAGUACAAAAAUAAAAUUGCCAUUAAUAAUCUAUCACACAUUUAUUUAUAAUAAAUUAGAAUAAGUUAUGAAAUAUAUUAUCCGUUACUAAUAUUGUCAUUGGAAUAAAUGUAACAUCUUCAAAGAAUUGUCGUUCCUUCGAAGGAGGAAAUUCAUUCUAUUUUUUCUUCCGUUGCCAGGCGUGAUAAUACCCAUUUCUCGCAGCUUCCUUUCCCCUCUUCAAGUAUUUACAUGAGAAAAGCGUCGUUAAAUUAGGCGAAACCCUCGGUUACAUUUCUGCCAGUGUCCUUUAUUCUCCGAAAAUUUUUCUCUUCCGCCUGGCUUCGACUCGCGAGACUCGUUGUUGCAGCUUUCCGAGGAAUUAGUGUCCAGAAAAUUAUCAUAAAUUAUUCCAUGACGUGCGCGACGUAUCCCUAACGCCUCGCCGAGUCGUCCAUAGUCGUAUUUACAUAUUUAUGCGCCGAAGGGGGAAGAGGUAAGGUAAUACGGGAAUGAAGAGAAGACAAGCGGAAAAGGAGAUAGCGGGGAAAAAGCGGAUGAACUACCUUCCUCCCGCUCUCCUUUCCCUCAUCUUCCUCCUCUUAGUGGCGAGUUCUUUCUUCGGGGCGGUUUCCCGGAUCGAGGCUUCGCCGGCAUUCUGAAUAAUUCACUAAUUUUUCUUCCCUUAAUUUUAUGGGAGAUGACAGGGGCCCUACUUCCGGUCCCGCCACAUGUACCUUUGUUUUCCUCGUCGCAGUUUUUAUAGAUCUUCUAAGGGCCGGUUGUUCCAAUUUCUUGGUAAACUUAUCUAUCAGGUGAAUAUGCGUCUGUCUUUAUUUAGAAAAAAAAGAGAAGAUAGGCACGUGCUUACCUGAUAGGUAAGUUUACCAUUAAGAAGUUGGAACAGCCGGCCCUAAAUACAAUAAAGCUAUUAAAAAGUUUGUGAUGUUUUUACAAUACCUGGUGUAUUAUAGAAAAUAUCUCUCAAUUUAAUUUUAAUUUCUUUUUAAAAUAAUGGAAUUUUUUAAAAAAGUUAUUUGAUUUAAAAGAGCGUACCUCAUCGAAUAUAUAAAACUUUAGUUUAAUGUUUCUCAAACAUUUUGUGUUGUGAUGUCGAACGUUCGCGAUCACGGAUGCGCAUAAGUGUCGUUUUGCUUUGCACGCACGCAUUUUUUUUUUCGCGUCCUUCCACUCUCCCUCCCCUUUGGCGUUGAUACUCCACGGUGAAACAAUGCCUUCGUCCAAGGUUCUCGGUUAUGCAAACGCGUUUGCACCUUCUGCUUCGAAGCCGAUUGCGAUGGCGUGCGUUUGUCCGCGCGAUUUUGCAUCGCGUACUUCUGAAGUAUUAUGUAAAAAUGGCCUUGGACGAGUGCAGAGGUUUGAUCGGAGGCUCGACUCUCGUCACGACGAUAUUACGCGAUCACGAUCCUCGGCUUCUUGACUCUCUGACGUAACGGAUCCGUAUCGGCCGAUCCGAAUUAAUCGUCCAUCGAAUCACGAGUAUCCCUGCAACAGCCUCUUGUACUUUUUUCGAGCACCGCAAGUCUCUACGAUCGAAUUUUACAGAGUACAUUAUAAAAAAAUUACAUUUUUCUUUUUAAUUGAAAUCAACAGA